CCCCAGACUCCUACGGGAGGCAGCAGUGGGGGAUAUUGCACAAUGGGGGGAACCCUGAUGCAGCGACGCCGCGUGGGUGAAGGAGCGUUUCGGCGCGUAAAGCCCUAUCGGCAGGGAAGAAGGAGGACGGUACCUGGCUAAGAAGCCCCGGCUAACUACGUGCCAGCAGCCGCGGUAAUACGUAGGUGGCAAGCGUUAUCCGGAUUUACUGGGUGUAAAGGGAGCGUAGACGGUAUGGCAAGUCUGAAGUGAAAGCCCAGGGCUUAACCCUGGGACUGCUUUGGAAACUGUUAGACUAGAGUGCUGGAGAGGUAAGUGGAAUUCCUAGUGUAGCGGUGAAAUGCGUAGAUAUUAGGAGGAACACCAGUGGCGAAGGCGGCUUACUGGACAGUAACUGACGUUGAGGCUCGAAAGCGUGGGGAGCAAACAGGAUUAGAUACCCCUGUA
rnacentral:rRNA from 1 species